AACGGCGAGUGAAGCGGCAAAAGCUCAAAUUUGAAAUCUGGCUCCAUGCGGAGCCCGAGUUGUAAUUUGGAGAGGACACUUCGGGUGCGGCCACGGCAUAAGUUCCUUGGAACAGGACGUCAUAGAGGGUGAGAAUCCCGUCUUUGGCUGCUGGACCGCGCCCAUGCGAAGUUCCUUCGACGAGUCGAGUUGUUUGGGAAUGCAGCUCUAAGUGGGUGGUAAAUUUCAUCUAAAGCUAAAUAUUGGCCGGAGACCGAUAGCGCACAAGUAGAGUGAUCGAAAGGUUAAAAGCACCUUGAAAAGGGAGUUAAAUAGCACGUGAAAUUGUUGAAAGGGAAGCGCUUGCAACCAGACUCGGUCGUGGGGGCUCAGCGGGCAUGAGUGCCCGUGUACUCCCCCAUGCUCCGGGCCAGCAUCAGUUCUGGCGGUUGGUUAAAGGCCUCUGGAAUGUAUCGUCCUCCGGGACGUCUUAUAGCCAGGGGCGCAAUGCGGCCAGCCGGGACUGAGGAACGCGCUUCGGCACGGAUGCUGGCAUAAUGGUUGUAAGCGGCCCGUCUUGAAACACGGACCAAGGAGUCUAACAUCCACGCGAGUGUUCGGGUGUCAAACCCGUGCGCGCAGUGAAAGCGAACGGAGGUGGGAGCCCGCAAGGGUGCACCAUCGACCGAUCCUGAAGUCUUCGGAUGGAUUUGAGUAAGAGCGUGGCUGUUGGGACCCGAAAGAUGGUGAACUAUGCCUGAAUAGGGUGAAGCCAGAGGAAACUCUGGUGGAGGCUCGCAGCGGUUCUGACGUGCAAAUCGAUCGUCAAAUUU
rnacentral:rRNA from 1 species